UGGAAUUACAGGUCGUAAGUAUGACUUAGGUGGUUUGAUAAGUAGAAUGUGUACUCCAGGAGCUGAGACGGGGAAGUUCAUUCAGAAGGUGCAAGAUGGAGGAUGGGUAUGGGUAGAGGAAUGACCUGUGUAGCGGUGAAAUUGGUAGAUAUAGGAAGGAACAGCAGGGGCGAAGGUGAUUACCUCGGCUUAUACGGACACUGAGGUGCGAAAGCGGGAGGAGCAAACAGGAUUAGAAACCCUUGUAGUCC
rnacentral:rRNA from 1 species